CCGGCUCCUCUCCCACCCCGCCCCCUCGGAGCUCGCACCUGGACAGAACGGCUGCAGAGAUUAUAUGAGCAUUGCAGCUACAGAGAGGGGUUUACCAUGGCACCUCUUGCAGCUACUGGGUUACAGAGAGGGACCAUCAGACUGCGGGCGCGCUGGCUGAAGCCUCGGUGGUUUUGCCAGUACCUGUGAUGAACCAUCAAGGAUGCUUUUUGUCCUUCUGAGCCCUGGUUUAACAUCACAGAGGAACAGGAAGUGACCCAUCCUGACCCCAGGACACCACAGGCAACUGGACCUCUGAGCCCCAAGAGGGGGGUGAGGGGCAACUGCAAGCAAUCAUGAUGGUGUUUGAGCCACUGGGUUCUGGGGGAAGACAUUUACCACUCAGGACAUAGGACACAGAUACAGAGUGACCCAGGGCACAGAUAAAGAAUCACCAGUCAACAGAUGAGAGGAUGCUAGGGAAAUUGCCAGACUGCAGCUUUUAGCUGAUUAACCUGUUUCUGAAUUCCAAAUCCCUUACCUACACUUUUUCCUCCUUAUAAAAAAUGCUGAUUUGAAAUGAAAUGUAAGACAGUCUUUUAGGGUACAUAACCCGCUGUACUCUCAGGUCACCCACUAUAUGAAUAAAGUGCCCAU